rnacentral:rRNA from 1 species
UGGGGAAUUUUGGACAAUGGGCGAAAGCCUGAUCCAGCAAUGCCGCGUGUGUGAAGAAGGCCUUCGGGUUGUAAAGCACUUUUGUCCGGAAAGAAAUCCUUGGCUCUAAUACAGUCGGGGGAUGACGGUACCGGAAGAAUAAGCACCGGCUAACUACGUGCCAGCAGCCGCGGUAAUACGUAGGGUGCAAGCGUUAAUCGGAAUUACUGGGCGUAAAGCGUGCGCAGGCGGUUUGCUAAGACCGAUGUGAAAUCCCCGGGCUCAACCUGGGAACUGCAUUGGUGACUGGCAGGCUAGAGUAUGGCAGAGGGGGGUAGAAUUCCACGUGUAGCAGUGAAAUGCGUAGAGAUGUGGAGGAAUACCGAUGGCGAAGGCAGCCCCCUGGGCCAAAUACUGACGCUCAUGCACGAAAAGCGUGGGGAGCAAAACAGGAUUAGAUACCCUGGUAGUCCACGCCCUAAAACGAUGUCAACUAGUUGUUGGGGAUUCAUUUCCUUAGUAACGUAGCUAACGCGUGAAGUUGACCGCCUGGGGAGUACGGUCGCAAGAUUAAAACUCAAAUGAAUUGACGGGGUCAUAGCUGUUU